rnacentral:rRNA from 1 species
CCUACGGGUGGCAGCAGUGAGGAAUAUUGGUCAAUGGUCGGGAGACUGAACCAGCCAAGCCGCGUGAGGGAUGAAGGUACAGAGUAUCGUAAACCUCUUUUGUCAGGGAACAAAGUCGGGGACGUGUCCUCGGAUGAGUGUACCUGAAGAAAAAGCAUCGGCUAACUCCGUGCCAGCAGCCGCGGUAAUACGGAGGAUGCGAGCGUUAUCCGGAUUUAUUGGGUUUAAAGUGUGCGCAGGCGGUCUGUUAAGUCAGCGGUCAAAGCCCGGGGCUCAACCCCGGACGGCCGUUGAAACUGGCAGUCUUGAGUUGGGGAGAGGUAGGCGGAAUGCGCGGUGUAGCGGUGAAAUGCAUAGAUAUCGCGCAGAACUCCGAUUGCGAAGGCAGCAUGCCGGCUCCACACUGACGCUGAGGCACGAAAGCGUGGGUAUCGAACAGGAUUAGAUACCCGGGUAGUC